ACUCAAAUGAAUUGACGGGGGCCCGCACAAGCGGUGGAGCAUGUGGUUUAAUUCGAUGCAACGCGAAGAACCUUACCAAGGCUUGACAUGGAGUCGCAAGAUGUAGAGAUACAUCCCCCCUUCGGGGCGGCUCACACAGGUGGUGCAUGGUUGUCGUCAGCUCGUGUCGUGAGAUGUUGGGUUAAGUCCCGCAACGAGCGCAACCCUUAUCUUCAGUAGCCAGCACGUAAUGGUGGGCACUUUGGAGAGACUGCCGUGGAUAACACGGAGGAAGGCGGGGAUGACGUCAAAUCAUCAUGCCCUUUAUGUCUUGGGCUACACACGUGCUACAAUGGACGUUACAGAGCGAAGCGAAGCAGUGAUGCGGAGCAAAGCGCAAAAAAGCGUCCCCAGUUCGGAUUAUAGUCUGCAACUCGACUAUAUGAAGUUGGAAUCGCUAGUAAUCGCAAAUCAGCAUGUUGCGGUGAAUACGUUCCCGGGCCUUGCACACACCGCCCGU
rnacentral:rRNA from 1 species